ACCACGUGGCUCUGAGCGUGGCGGAGCUCAGGAGGCCCGCCGGAGACAUGCUGCAGUUGUUCAGGGACGCGCUGAGCUCUGGGCACUUAAAAGAUACAAAUCUGUUCAGUAAUGGAGUACAGCGUGCAGCUGCACUGCAGAAUGUCCAGGACGCCAGCAACAUUCAGAUGGCUCACAGAAAGUAAUAAAUUUGCCCUUGCUGUCUCUACUUUUCCGUGAUGUCAUCUCUUCUCCAGCAUGAGGAUUAACAUAGGAAUUCUGGAGAAAUGGAAGCUGUCUCCAAUUUUCUGGACCUAUGUGUUGGAUUCUUUUCCCGGAUGCUUCAGUUCUAGACUUUUACUUCACUAUGAUACUAUGAACAGAAAGCUGCCUUCAAAUAUUUUCUUCUUGUGAUAUUCCUCACUUGUCUAACAUAACUUUGGCAUUUAUAUGCAAGGCGUUGUCCCUUUCUUUCUCUUUGCUCACAGCUUUGAUGUCAUGGGGUGAGAUGGUGGUGGUAUAUCCAUCUGGAUGUAUCUUGGUACAGUUACCAAUAAAACUCUUCUACU